rnacentral:tRNA from 1 species
GCCUCGUUAGCGCAGUAGGCAGCGCGUCAGUCUCAUAAUCUGAAGGUAGUGAGUUCGAUCCUCGCACGAGGCA